UACAGAGGUCUCAAGCGUUGUUCGGAUUCAUUGGGCGUAAAGGGUGCGUAGGCGGCGCGGUAAGUCGGGUGUGAAAUCUUGGAGCUUAACUCCGAAACUGCAUUCGAUACUGCCGUGCUUGAGGACUGGAGAGGAGACUGGAAUUUACGGUGUAGCGGUGAAAUGCGUAGAUAUCAUAAGGAAGACCAGUGGCGAAGGCGGGUCUCUGGACAGUUCCUGACGCUGAGGCACGAAGGUCAGGGGAGCAAACGGG
rnacentral:rRNA from 1 species